rnacentral:rRNA from 1 species
GACGAACGCUGGCGGCGUGCUUAACACAUGCAAGUCGAACGGAAAGGCCCUGCUUUUGUGGGGUGCUCGAGUGGCGAACGGGUGAGUAACACGUGAGUAACCUGCCCUUGACUUUGGGAUAACUUCAGGAAACUGGGGCUAAUACCGGAUAGGAGCUCCUGCUGCAUGGUGGGGGUUGGAAAGUUUCGGCGGUUGGGGAUGGACGCGCGGCUUAUCAGCUUGUUGGUGGGGUAGGGGCUUACCAAGGCUUUGACGGGUAGCCGGCCUGAGAGGGUGACCGGCCACAUUGGGACUGCGAUACGGCCCAGAGUCCUACGGGGGGCAGCGGUGGGGAAUAUUGCACAAUGGGCGGAAGCGUGAUGCAGCAACGCCGGGUGCGGGAUGACGGCCUUCGGGUUGUAAACCGCUUUCGCCUGUGACGAAGCGUGAGUGACGGUAAUGGGUAAAGAAGCACCGGCUAACUACGUG